GAUGAACGCUGGCGGCGUGCCUAAUACAUGCAAGUAGAACGCUGAAGGAAGGAGCUUGCUCUUUCCGGAUGAGUUGCGAACGGGUGAGUAACGCGUAGGUAACCUGCCUGGUAGCGGGGGAUAACUAUUGGAAACGAUAGCUAAUACCGCAUAACAGUAGAUGUUGCAUGACAACUAUUUGAAAGGGGCAAUUGCUCCACUACCAGAUGGACCUGCGUUGUAUUAGCUAGUUGGUGAGGUAACGGCUCACCAAGGCGACGAUACAUAGCCGACCUGAGAGGGUGAUCGGCCACACUGGGACUGAGACACGGCCCAGACGCCUACGGGAGGCAGCAGUAGGGAAUCUUCGGCAAGGGACGGAAGUCUGACCGAGCAACGCCGCGUGAGUGAAGAAGGGUUUCGGAUCGUAAAGCUCUGUUGUAAGAGAAGAACGAGUGUGAGAGUGGAAAGUUCACACUGUGACGGUAGCUUACCAGAAAGGGACGGCUAACUACGUG
rnacentral:rRNA from 1 species